CGGCGGUUAACUUCCACCGGCAUACUCCGCGUUAUAUCCCAAAAGACAGUAUCAUUCUUAUACAAUACUGUUUUCCCUCGAAUGGAAAAUACAAAAUGGCGUCUGCAUGAGAGUUGUACUUAGCUCUGGGUUAAUUGGUGAUAAGUAAUGAAUUAUUACAGUUCGUAAUCAGUUCGCUGCUCUUAGGCCAGUCUCUGGAAACUGAAUCCUGACGCCAUGGUCUGCUUACAAUUGGGAGACUGAAUAAACGUACCUAGCGUGACAUCAGCCAACCGUACCCUCGUGAUCUGCAUUCCUAUCAAUGGAUUUCCAACGGGCCUACGCAUUUGUACCUGUCAGCGAAGCUGUUACGGCAUUUCGCCGAUCGCCCA